GGGCGGGUGGUGGAACUGGUAGACACGAGGGACUUAAAAUCCCUUGGCAGCGAUGCCGUGGGGGUUCGAUCCCCCCCCCGCCUA
rnacentral:tRNA from 1 species